UUACGUGGUUGAGUGGCUUCCACAUGGUUGUUUUUCCACUAAUUACUUGUCACAAAUGGUUCUUUUUGAAGCUGUUCUUCGAGUUCUGAAGCUAACAAGUAGUGACAAACCUCAAGUGUGGUCCCCUAAGAUAAUACUUGGAAUGCAAAUCAACUUUGAAUAAGCAAAUAAAACCCUUCUUAAGACGUCAACACACUUUGAUUUUCGUUUAGUCGUCUUCUGUCUUCCAAGAACUUCACUUCUUCGUCUCACGGUGAAGCAUAAAGGCCUCAUUUUCAAGGCAAGGGGUAACUUCACUGACGAAAAGUAAAACCACACAUUCAAGUUAGCGAAUAAGAAAAAGCUUUACGAGGAGAUCAUAUCAAGACUGCCAUCUUCUGCUUUGCUCUCAACGUCGUUAUCAGACGCUAUUCAGAACGCCAGACAGUGUACGACAAACGAAAACUUCAUUUCAACGCGAGAAAUCUGGGGU
rnacentral:misc_RNA from 1 species